rnacentral:rRNA from 1 species
AGUGAACGCUGGCGGUAGGCCUAACACAUGCAAGUCGAACGGCAGCACAGGAGAGCUUGCUCUCUGGGUGGCGAGUGGCGGACGGGUGAGGAAUACAUCGGAAUCUACCUUUUCGUGAGGGAUAACGUAGGGAAACUUACGCUAAUACCGCAUACGACCUACGGGUGAAAGUGGGGGACCGCAAGGCCUCACGCGAUUAGAUGAGCCGAUGUCCGAUUAGCUAGUUGGCGGGGUAAUGGCCCACCAAGGCGACGAUCGGUAGCUGGUCUGAGAGGAUGAUCAGCCACACUGGAACUGAGACACGGUCCAGACUCCUACGGGAGGCAGCAGUGGGGAAUAUUGGACAAUGGGCGCAAGCCUGAUCCAGCCAUACCGCGUGGGUGAAGAGGGCCUUCGGGUUGUAAAGCCCUUUUGUUGGGAAAGAAAUCCUGUCGAUUAAUACUCGGUGGGGAUGACGGUACCCAAAGAAUAAGCACCGGCUAACUUCGUGCCAGCCGCCGCAGUAACAC